AUAAUACUCCCUUCAUCCGAAAAUACUUGUCAUCAAAAUGGAUAAAAAAAGAUGUAUCUAUAACUAAAAUACGUCUAGAUACAUUCCCUUUUAUCCAUUUUGAUGACAAGUAUUUCCGGACGGAGGGAGUAUCAC
rnacentral:pre_miRNA from 1 species